rnacentral:rRNA from 1 species
UACGGAGGGUGCAAGCGUUAUCCGGAUUUAUUGGCUUUAAAGGGUGCGUAGGCGGAUUGAUAAGUCAGUGGUGAAAUCUUCCAGCUCAACUGGGAAACUGCCAUUGAUACUGUCGAUCUUGAAUUUAGUUGAAGUAGGCGGAAUGAGGCAUGUAGCGGUGAAAUGCAUAGAUAUGCCUCAGAACACCGAUUGCGAAGGCAGCUUACUAAGCUAUAAUUGACGCUGAGGCACGAAAGCGUGGGGAGCAAACAGG